UUUUUCUCCGAUCAAACCAGGCCUCUUUUUCUCUCACUCUAGCGGAAACCAAACCUCUUUUCUCCGAUCAAACUAUCUUUCUCUCUCACGGAUUCUCUCUCAUCCUUUCACCGAUUUCCUCUUUCACCCAUUUUCUCUUCCCCUACGAUUUUUAGGGUUUCAAAUUGGGGGAAUCUGAAAUUCCCCUCACACUUGGCUCACGGUUGCAGUGGCGAUUGGUGGUGGUGUGCGAUGGACUGCGAUAGAGGUAUCUGGUAUCCAUGUCUCUGAAAGCCUAAUGGCUUAGACAACAAUGAAAGCCCCCAACGACUUUCCAAUGUGAUUGACAAGCAGCGGGGCAAGCGAAGCAAGCCGUGCUAGCGCCCAACCUGUACAAUGGCUCACGAAGGAAGGGGCUUUCGUUGAAAGCUUAUCUUAUUAUUAAAAAAAGGAAUCUGAGUUUUGGAGUUUCUGCCGCAACCUAGAGCGGCUCGCUUCACUCUUCAAGCUCUGCCCCCUUGCUAAACAUCUCUUUUACGCACACCUCGAACUAAUCCUUACAGUUUUUCCUAUGGUUGUUUCACACGCUUACGCGUAAAGGUGAGGUGACAUUAAGAGUUUGCUAGCAAGAAGAAUCGAAUAUGAGAUUUUAGAAGUGAGCAAACGUCUAACUAGAUCCAAGUUCCAGGCAAAGAUUACUUGGCCAACCCCGGGCCUGGAGUUUAGACAAAUUAUAUUGCCACAAGUGUUCUAUUAACAUCAAAACUUUGGUGCAUAAAAACCUUUGUACAAAAAGUUUAGAAUAGUUCAUAGCUCUGUUCCAACUAAAACAAGUGUAGGUAUGAUUAUUUUACUACCAUAUUUCUUGUAGCUUUGCAAUGAUUUUGGUAAGGCCAAUUAUGGGCCGCAUUAUUAAUGCUCGAUUUUUGAUUCA